GUACAAGUGAAAAGGAGCUCCGGGUAAUUCAGGGACAAGGGAGGGAAAACCACACACGCUUAUGAUCACACUCCAGGGAUGAAAACACGGACAGGUCCAGGAAGAUCUAUAUAAAAGAAAACAAGUCAGGAAAAGACAGGAGACGAGAAUUUACAGGAAAUAGCCGGAGCUACACUGACUAGUGUCGUUCAACGAUCCAGCAGUGAGAAACACUGAGCUGUCGUCUUAAGCAGUGGCUCGAGUGACAAGAUAAUGAGCAACAGUUUCCCAGCAUGCUCUGGCUGUGGUGGUGGAGGUGAAUGAGGGGGAAAGGUCUGUCCUGCUGUCCUGUCUGUACCCAGAUUAUAUACUUGAGGACAAUUCAACAGUGAUGUGGACUCGCAGUGACCUUGAUCCCAAAUCUGUCCACAUACGACGAGAAAUAGGAGACGAUCUUAGAGGACAAAACCAGCGUUACAGCAGACGCACAUCAAUGAAUCGUUACGCUUUCAUCAUUAAAGACUUCAGCCUCACUCUAAGGAAACCCACAAAGACUGACAGCGGCAACUACACCUGCUCCAUCAGUGCUGGAGGAAAAGAACGGAGACUCAGAGACAUCCAGCUGCAGGUCAAAGCAAGUGGAGGUGAAGGUGGAGAAAGGGGUACAGUCUGUCAUCCUGCCCUGCAAAACAACACCUGACCUGCCUGAGGACACCACAGUAGAGUGGACUCGCUCUGACCUCGGACUCAUCACAGUCCAUGAGUAUUCUAACAGAAAUGAUGACCUCAUGACUCAGGAUGAAGUUUACAGAGACCGAACGAAGAUGAAUGAAGACCUGCUGAGAACUGGAGACCUCAGUCUGACCCUGAAACAGCCCACAGAGAGAGACAGUGGAGGAUACAUCUGCACCAUCUACAGGGACAAAGACAUCCUGAGACAGAAAGUUGUACUGCAGGUCAAAAAACCAUUUCCAUCCUGGUUCAAAGAUCUUCUGGUUCUCCUGUUUGUCUUUGUGAUUUUUGGAGGUCUUUUAUAUUAUUUACGUCACUAUUACAUGUCAGAUUACCAGGUGGAGGUGGAUUCAGGGGUGGAGUCUGUAAAGCUGCCCUGCAAAACUAUAUUUAAAUUCCUAAAACACACUAAAGUGGAGUGGAGGGACAGAAACAACAGGAAGGUCCACGUGUAUCACAAUGGCUCUGACCAGGUUAGAGAACAGCACCGGUUUUACAGAAACCGAACAGAGAUGAAGAGGAAUUUACUGAAACCUGGAGACCUCAGUCUGACCCUGACGUAUCCCACUGAUGAUGACAACUCCACCUACACCUGCACCGUCUACAGCAGGAAGGGAAACAUACUGGCAACGAAAAAUGUGCAGCUCCAUGUCAGAGUCCCCCAGGUGGAGGUGGAUUCAGGGGAGGCAUCUGUCCUGCUGCCCUGCAAAACUACUAUAAACCUGCUUAAAGAUGCUAAAGUGGAGUGGAUGACCAAAUUCAACAGGAAGGUCCACGUGUAUGAGACCGGAUCUGACCAGCUUGAAGAUCAGGACAACUAUUACAGAAACAGAACACUGAUGAAUAAAGACCUGCUGAAAACUGGAGACCUCAGUCUGACCCUGAAAUACCCCACAGACUGGGACACAGACAUCUACACCUGCACCGUCUACAACAGGGAGGGAAAAAUAAUCCUGAUGAAACAAGUGGAGCUGAAAGUCAGAGUCUGUCAGGUGGAGGUGGAGGAGGGGGCGGAGUCUGUCGAGCUACCUUUCAAAACCACAGAAGACCUGCCUGCAGAUGCUAAAGUGGUGUGGUGGAACAAUGAUGACAGGAAGGUUCACGUGUAUAAGAACGGCUCUGAUCAGCCUGGAGAACAGCACCAGGUUUACAGAGACCGAACGAAGAUGAAGAGAAGAUCUCUGCUGAAGCCUGGAGACCUCAGUCUGACCCUGGAACAGCCCACAGAGAGAGACAGCGGGAGGUACAGCUGUAGAGUCUACGGGGAGAUCAAGAGAUACAAAAGAGUGCUGCUCAUAGUCAAAGGGAGAGUUCAGGUCCAGGAUCAAACAGGGGACAUCAGGAGCAGAAGCAGCUCCAUUGAUCCGACUCCUCUGAUGGCUGAUCAAUCAGUUUGAUCUGUGUGUUCUUUGAUUAUUGAUCAGUGAUGUCAGAGUGGAGUCAGUGUGAUGUUGUUGUUGUGUGUUUGAGACUUUUAGUGUCCAUGAAGGUCUCUGCUGCCGUAGAUCCUCUGAACUGUGACAGAGGUCUCACUCUGGAGGAAACUCUCAGCACUUUCCAGCAGCUCCUCCAUCAUGGAGGACGUUCCCUCACUGUAACAGGUGGAGGAGAGAGGAGAGGAAGCACAGGUGGAUCCUCUGAGGAAGACAUUAAUGUUAUUACAUGAGUGGAAACAUCAUAGUAAAGAUAAAUCUCCAUGUGUACGAUCUCUGAGGCUCAAAUCAGUCCAGUCAGAUCUGUUGUCCCUUCUAUGUAGGGUUGCCAACUAUCCCGUUUUAUCUAGGAUGUCCCGUAAAAUGACCAACAUAGGUUUCUGCAGUAUUCUACCUUAAAUGUCCCGUAUAAUUACCGUUACCUGGAAUGUCAUUUUCUGACUAACAGCUGGCACUCUAACAAAUACCAAAACUGAUUUGACUGCAAUUACAUCAGAAGAGUACUUGUGUGCAGUCACAUCUGUCAGUGAUGCCCAUCACACACACCAGGUGUGAGGAGUAAUACACGAUUCUUAAAAAUAACGUGCUGUUUGGUCUGCGUAACAUAACAUACUGGGUAACUGAGACCUGUACUUACAAUAUUUUCUUUGAAUAUUUUUCUUUUUUGCUUAUUUUUCAAGGUAAUGCACAUGUGAUUUCUAUCAUCAUUUACUGUAUUUUCUUUAUUGAUUUAGAUGAGGUAUUGAUUAAACUGAAUACCAUUAUUUUACUGCAUUUUGACUGUAAGAAUAUGAACAUACAGUGCAUAUUUACACUGUGCCCAGCUGGCUGUGCAUUGUGCUUCUGCCACACCAGUGUCCCUUAUUUGAUAGUUACAAAGUUGGUGACCCUACCUCUACCUCAGUGUGAUUGUUUAUAUAAGACCUGCCCCGGCGCUAUAAAUGCAAGCAAUUUAAUUAUAAUCAGGCAGGUGUACUUAUCUUAUUUUUAUAAUAAUCCCCAUUAAUGUCCCUGUUCAGUCAAGAGAAUAAAAAUACCCUCUCUGAUCCACUGAGGUUUUUCUUCUGUGGUGUUUCUGACGUUUGAGGAUGAGACCAGAGUUCCUACAGCUUCAGGAAAGUUGGAUUUAAAACUUUAACAUCAGCUGUGUCCUUGUUAGCAAUAAGCUAACAUUUGUAGGCUAACGUGCUUGAACCUGCAUUCUU
ensembl:lncRNA